CUGAACCUUCGAAGAGUAUCCCAUUCAGAUCCAUACCCUGACCCGAGUACUCUGCAUUUCGCCUGACGAUUGUACCUAAAUUACACAUCCCUGAACAGUAUGGACAAUUUCGCUUGGUCAAUUCACCUGAUGUGCUCGUGUUCUGAAUAUUGGAGAAAACUUACUGACACAUGGGAAGAACGUGCAAACUCCACACAAGCUGUCGUCCGAGGCUGCAACUGAACUUGGUUGUCUCGCGCCGUGAGGAAGCAGUGCAAACAACUUAGACACAAGGCCACUGAGCUAAAAUUGCAUUGAACUAUAAGCAAAUGUAAGGAAUUCUGGUAGAAGCACAGUGGAGGAAAUCAGUCGGCCUACGUGUGACAUCAGAAGAGACAAAAAAAAAACUGCAGAUGGUGAAAUCCAAGGCAGACAAGCAGGAGGCUUGGAAAACAAGGCAAGUCCGGCAGCAUCAGGAGGUAAAGAUAUCAAAGUUUCGGGUGUGACCUUCCUUCAGUCCUGGAGAUGGGUAGGAUGAGGUGACGUUUCCCACAACCUGCAGUCAGAUACGCUGUGGCAAAGAAGGAGG